GGAAGAACCAAAAAUUUGCGAAAGCAAAUUUACAGAUCUAACAUUGUUGGGUUGAUGUUUAGACGAGUUAUAUAUAUAUAUAUAUAUGAUCAUUUUCAAUUUAAGGAAAAAAACAAUGCCGAAACAAAAACAUGAAUUUGCAAACUGCAUUAGGUCCUGAAGUUUGUCAUUUAUUGGAAUCUUCAUUUUAUAAAAAGAAAUGUAAUGUUGUGGUAAGACUAUUUUGUCAAAUCAAUUUUACAAUUAUACACAUAUUACAUGUACCUAAUGUUAUCUGACAUAUCAAUUGAGUAUAAAACAUUCUAGUUUUCUGUUUAUUCAUACUGUAAUGUAGAACAUUUUGACAAUAUGC
rnacentral:lncRNA from 1 species